AACCACACAAUCAAUGAAUGGAUUCACGUGCGAGAUGACGUGGUUGUUUCACCUAGGACGAGGACAUGGCAUCCUAUUACCAGCCAUCGCACGAAAUUAAUAGGAUGCCACGUCCUCAUCCCAGAUGAACAACCACAUCAUCUUCUGGGUGAAUCCAUUCAUCGAUAGUAUGGUU
rfam:Oryza meridionalis cultivar OR44 (W2112) chromosome 1, whole genome shotgun sequence.